UACGUAGGGUGCAAGCGUUAAUCGGAAUUACUGGGCGUAAAGGGUGCGCAGGCGGUUGAUUAAGUCAGAUGUGAAAUCCCCGGGCUUAACCUGGGAGCUGCAUUUGAGACUGGUCGGCUAGAGUGUGUCAGAGGGGGGUAGAAUUCCACGUGUAGCAGUGAAAUGCGUAGAGAUGUGGAGGAAUACCGAUGGCGAAGGCAGCCCCCUGGGAUAACACUGACGCUCAGGCACGAAAGCGUGGGGAGCAAACAGG
rnacentral:rRNA from 1 species